CCCAAGCUCAGAAGCCAGUAUAUUAGUGGAGUGAGGAGAGAGAUAGGCGUCAACCAAUUCAACCAGCUGAUCAGUGGCCAAACCUAGCUAUAAUUAAUUAGCGUAGCACGUAGGAGUACGCGUAUAUGGCCGGCGGCAGGUUAUUGCCGUCGACUUCCGGCAGCAGGCAGCCAUCCAUGGCCGGCUUAGACGGCGGCGGCGCACCACCGGCGGCGUGUGACCCAAACAACUUGCCGGCGGCCAUCGUUCUUGUGUUUCCGGUGAUGGUGGUCGCGCUGCUGUGUUGGAGGGCGGCGAGGACCCGCCGGAACAAGGACGAGUGCCGGCGGCUGGCCCGGCGCCGGCGCUGGCGAAGGCGGCGGCGGUGUCGGCGGAGGUCAGGGCGGUGCUCGCCGGGCAGGUGGACGCGUGGGUCAAGGAGGCGGAGAGAGUCGUCCUCGGCUGCACGAGCAGCCGCUGGCCCUGCCGGUUCGUGAGGUGCGACCGCCACGGCGAGCAGCUGAGCGUGGUGAGGAUGAACCUGGACGAGGCGUACGACCGCAUCCUUCCCGUCGUCGCCCAGAUCGACACCGCGCACCGCCUGCAUCACUUGCUCCAGCUGCAGGUUAUUGUGCAGGAUGGGCAUAAGUCAGCAACUACAACCGCUAGUUGUCCUCCUCCGGCCUGACGGUCGUCAAACUCGGUAUGAAGAAACCGACAUGUCGAACGGCAGGCAGUACUGCCAGAGGCCACCACGUCCGAAAGUAAUUGAUUUGCAGUAGUUUCUAUUGGAUCAACACCGUUUUCAGUGUCUAAGAUCACAGGGAUAUAUAUACUCAUACAUGCAUUUCGAGUGCUUGUAGGAGUAGUAUGUACAAUGCCAGGACUGGACAUUAAAUUAAUGUGAAGUUACCACAUGGUAUCACAACAAUCAGUCUAGUGUAUAUUGUACACAGUUGUAUUAUAGGUCUGUUUGGCACAGCUCUAGCUCCAGCUCCAGCUCAGGUGGAGCUCAGCCAAACAGUUUUAACUCCACCAAAACUGGGAGUGGAGAUAGGUGGAGCUCUCUCACAAAAUGUACUAGAGUUGUGGAGCUGGGUUUAAGCAGCUCCACAACUCCACUCCAGACUUAACUACUGGAGUUAUAUUUAGAAGUUGAAGCUGGGUUUAAAUAGGCCUUGUUGGCUCAAAACCAGGAGACGUUGGCUCAACCGGGAGAAAGCCUUACCACACCUCAAAAGCUUGCUCAUGAAACACAAAAUAGUAAUAACGCACACACAGGCUUCGGCAACGAAUGCCUUUAUAUUUU